AUGGGAAGCAAGUUAUAUGUACUCGAUGUUUUGCAAAGGCCAGAAAAAAAUGUACACAGAGAACUGGCUGUGGCUCAAAAUGGAAAGUUUGGGCAAGAUCCUCUCUACAACCAGACCUCUGAUAUAAGGCCGAUAAUAUACAGGAUGAGAAGAGGAACAAAGCAAUUCUAGGCACUUAGCCCAUUUUCUUUCUUGGAAAUCAAUCCAGAUUAACCACAUGAGGAUACAUCUUCUCUGAGUGAGAGAAGAAAGAUGAAAGGAUCAUUCUGUCUUAGCCUGAAAACCUGUAGAUCAUGCGUGCAGCAGAUGAGGGCAUACGAUUGUGGGGAGAGCUGGAAGAGGGAGGGCUUUGGAGUGGCUGUUUCAUAUGCCUUGUGUUUAAAUCCUGGAGUUGACCCAUGGAAGCCUCAGUGAUUAUGAAAAUAACACAGUCGGGGAGUAUUUGGGCAGAGUCCCCACAUUGAACCAUACUCUGUGCAGUGCCU
rnacentral:lncRNA from 9 species